GAUGAAGAACGUAGCAAAAUGCGAUAAGUAGUGUGAAUUGCAGAAUUCAGUGAAUCAUCGAAUCUUUGAACGCACAUUGCGCCCCCCAGUAUUCUGGCGGGCAUGCCUGUUCGAGCGUCAUUUCAACCAUCAAGCCCUGCUUGUGUUGGGGUCCUGCGGCUGCCCGCAGGCCCUGAAAACCAGUGGCGGGCUCGCUAGUCACACCGAGCGCAGUAGCACAUCUCGCUCAGGGCGUGCGGCGGGCUCCAGCCGUUAAAGCACCCACCUUUCGCAAGGUUGACCUCGGAUCAGGUAGGAAUACCCGCUGAACUUAAGCAUAUCAAUAAGCGGAGGA
rnacentral:misc_RNA from 1 species